GACGAACGCUGGCGGCGUGCUUAACACAUGUAAGUCGAACGGAAAGGCCCUGCUUUUGUGGGGUGCUCGAGUGGCGAACGGGUGAGUAACACGUGAGUAACCUGCCCUUGACUUUGGGAUAACUUCAGGAAACUGGGGCUAAUACCGGAUAGGAGCUCCUGCUGCAUGGUGGGGGUUGGAAAGUUUCGGCGGUUGGGGAUGGACUCGCGGCUUAUCAGCUUGUUGGUGGGGUAGUGGCUCACCAAGGCUUUGACGGGUAGCCGGCCUGAGAGGGUGACCGGCCACAUUGGGACUGAGAUACGGCCCAGACUCCUACGGGAGGCAGCAGUGGGGAAUAUUGCACAAUGGGCGGAAGCCUGAUGCAGCAACGCCGCGUGCGGGAUGACGGCCUUCGGGUUGUAAACCGCUUUCGCCUGUGACGAAGCGUGAGUGACGGUAAUGGGUAAAGAAGCACCGGCUAACUACGUG
rnacentral:rRNA from 1 species